rnacentral:rRNA from 2 species
UAGGGAAUCUUCGGCAAUGGACGAAAGUCUGACCGAGCAACGCCGCGUGAGUGAAGAAGGUUUUCGGAUCGUAAAACUCUGUUGUUAGAGAAGAACAAGGACGUUAGUAACUGAACGUCCCCUGACGGUAUCUAACCAGAAAGCCACGGCUAACUACGUGCCAGCAGCCGCGGUAAUACGUAGGUGGCAAGCGUUGUCCGGAUUUAUUGGGCGUAAAGCGAGCGCAGGCGGUUUCUUAAGUCUGAUGUGAAAGCCCCCGGCUCAACCGGGGAGGGUCAUUGGAAACUGGGAGACUUGAGUGCAGAAGAGGAGAGUGGAAGUCCAUGUGUAGCGGUGAAAUGCGUAGAUAUAUGGAGGAACACCAGUGGCGAAGGCGGCUCUCUGGUCUGUAACUGACGCUGAGGCUCGAAAGCGUGGGGGGCAAACAGG